rnacentral:rRNA from 1 species
AGAAUCGACGCUGGCGGCGUGCCUAACACAUGCAAGUCGAACGAGAAAGUGGAGCAAUCCAUGAGUAAAGUGGCGCACGGGUGAGUAACACGUGACUAACCUACCCUCGAGUGGGGAAUAACUUCGGGAAACCGAGGCUAAUACCGCAUAAAACCUAAGGGUCAAAGGAGCAAUCCGUUUGAGGAGGGGGUCGCGGCAGAUUAGUUAGUUGGCGGGGUAAUGGCCCACCAAGACGAUGAUCUGUAUCCGGCCUGAGAGGGCGCACGGACACACUGGAACUGAAACACGGUCCAGACUCCUACGGGAGGCAGCAGUGGGGAAUUUGCGCAAUGGGGGAAACCCUGACGCAGCAACGCCGCGUGGAGGAUGAAAUCCCUUGGGAUGUAAACUCCUUUCGAUCGGGAAGAUAAUGACGGUACCGGAAGAAGAAGCCCGGCUAACUUCGCGCCAGCAGCCGC